GGGCAUGUAGGCACCCUCCCCCUCCAGCCAAAGGACGUCAUCAUGUGACAGAGGCAUCGGAAACUGCAACAGAUAUGCUACAUCUUCACAGAGUGUCAGUUUUACUCAGCUAUGGAUAUUUACUGAAAUGCCUGCUCCAGUCCAGCAACCAUUGAAGAUGUUGAGUCGAAUUAUUUAAGAAGAGACUUGUCUUAAGAGUAUCAGACCCAGAGAGAAGGAAGGACAACUAUGCUUGGAAAACUGCAGUAGCCAUUCCUCUGAGCCCCAUCUACUUUUUUGAGUCUGUUUCUCUGACUGGAAUCAAAGUUACUAUGAAGAUGCAAAGGGAGAGAUAUUUUGAAAUUAAAGUUGAUAAAUGGGUGGAAAUUCAUCUAAA